AGCUUUGCGCAGUGGCAGUAUCAUAGCCAAUGUGGUUUAUCCGAGGUGCAAUUAUUGCUAAUUGAAAAAAAAAAUUCAACUUGACAAAAAUGAAACAAGUAAAUUUGUUAAAUUGGUGUUAUAAUUGUACAGUG